CCUACGGGUGGCAGCAGUGGGGAAUAUUGCACAAUGGGGGAAACCCUGAUGCAGCGACGCCGCGUGAGUGAAGAAGUAAUUCGUUACGUAAAGCUCUAUCAGCAGGGAAGAAACACUGACCUUACGGUCAGCAGACGGUACCUGAGUAAGAAGCCCCGGCUAACUACGUGCCACCAGCCGCGGUAAUACGUAGGGGGCAAGCGUUAUCCGGAUUGACUGGGUUUAAAGGGAGCGUAGACGUUGCGCCAAGUCUGAAGUGAAAGCCCGUGGCUUAACCGCGGAACGGAUUUGGAAACUGUGGAACUGGAGUGCUGGAGAGGCAAGCGGAAUUCCUAGUGUAGCGGUGAAAUGCGUAGAUAUUAGGAGGAACACCAGUGGCGAAGGCGGCUUGCUGGACAGUAACGGACGUUGAGGCUCGAAAGCGUGGGGAGCAAACAGGAUUAGAUACCCCGGUAGUC
rnacentral:rRNA from 1 species